UACACUCGCACGCGUUUCGGUGCUCGCGCGCGCGUUCUGGCGCGCGCAGUUAAACGGGAAACAGGAGGCCCGCCCGCGUCGCGGACGGCGCCAACCUGUGCUGCCCCCGCAACGGUAAGCGAACGCAUCGCGCCACGUGCGAUGCAGCGCCGCUUCGCCGCAUGCCAUCCGCAUGCGGACGACAGCCACUGGACGCCCUGCGUGUCCGGGAAGGUGAAGCGGCGUGUUCGCCAGCCCGGAUACCGGCCAAAACAAGGGGUUCAGC
rnacentral:ncRNA from 2 species